UGUACCUGCUUGCUGGUGUCACAGAUGAAAAUACAACUUAAACUGUGAAUGCUAAAAGGUGGCGGGCAAUGACUGCAUGUUGAGGUGGCGAUGAAUUUAUGAAACUGAUCUUUGAAACUCUGAAGCACAAGCCUGCUACCUGCAGUUGAUACAGGCUGGCUAUAAAUUUUGGUAAUAUCUGGACAAAAUAAAAGUGACAUGUCCUGAACCCUCCAAUUAAUAAGGGACAAACCCACCAGUUAGGAGGCAGGUCAUGCAUUGUGCUUCUCCACAUAGACUAUCUGGAUUUAGAAAAGCGAGGGGUUGGGGCCCUGGAAAGAAGAGGUGGCUCCAAAAAGGAGGGUCCCUGAAUAGAAGUCGUCUAAGAAAGUGGAAAGGGGCCCAGAAAGUGGAAGGUGAAAUCCUUGUUGGAGGAAAGAUCCUGGAAGUGGGGAAGAUCCCGGAGAUCAGAAAGCUGUGUGGAGGUGAAUGCUGUGGCAUGCCCAGGGACCUUGGCUAGUAAUGCCUGGGACGGGUGCUGCAGGAAGCAGCACAGCAGGAACCAACAUGAUUUUUCUGUCCAACCAUCCCAGACCAGCAGCGACCUUCCUGCAGAGGAGGCAAGGUGAGACCUAGGAACAUGACGUGAGUGAUUGAUUGUGCCAGAUAAUCAAGUAGGGUAAAAGCUCUAUUCUCUUUGGUUCUGAAAUAAGCACCAGUGUUCAGAUCCACUGUGGGUUGUCAUUUACCUUGUUGCACCCAGACAGACAGUACAUGCAGGCUGAUAACUAGGUCCUUAGCCAAAGAGAAAGGUUAACUGUUCAGAUCAGGCUGCAGUUUUUCAUUCAGCAAUGUAUGUCAGUCUGUCUGCUAUUCAGCUGCUGCUGUUCACAUAACUUGAAAGAAUGUGUAUUUUUUUCAGCUAAGCUUCCUCCUUCCAUGCCCUUGCCAAACUUGGUCAAAAUUAUCCAGCAGGUUCAAAAGUGAUUGGAGAGGACGGACAGACAGACAGACAGCACAACUGUGUAAGCCUCAGUUCCUUAGAAAAUCAGGGUAACAGGAACUUAGUAACCUCCAACAGCAUACAUUUUUACUCUUCUUUCUGUAACUGUGCAACACAAGAAAGGCAACCACAAAAUUGCUUCAUAUAGACUUAACAUUUAUGUAAAUGGAAGGUUUCGCAGUUGUACUUUACUAUGUCUAAUUGCAGAGCUGAAACUUGUUUUUUAUUGUUCUGGUAUUACAGAAAUCACAGUUAUUUCCCUUUCCCAUUGCUGAAGAGUGGAGAAAACAUACAAGGGUAUAAUUUUAAUAGCAAAGAGAGAUUUUGAGAGAGAGGCUAGAUACAGACAUUAAAAGUAUACAGACAGGCAAUGUUUAGGUGACUAAAAUAUUUGCUCUGUUCACUGCCCAUUCAGUUGCUUUAUAAUCAUUAACUGUAAAGACCAUGUUCCAUGGUACCUUAGAAGACAUAUCACAGGCCACAGCUAAAACUGCAGACACCCAGAUAUGAAUGUCUGCUUUUGACAGGGGAAAAGAGAAUCCCAAAUAUGUUCACAUUAUCAACCAUUCUACAGUAUGCAUUGUAUGUCACUGUGCCUGGUGGCUGGUGUCAAACUAAAGAAGCUGUGGCAGUGCGUAGUCACCAUACACAUUGAACACACAUAUAAGACAACAUUUGUAUCCUACUGUACUAGUCCGUCAAUGAAGAAUAGUGGAAAGACUGGGCAAUACUUGAAAAAUAUAAAUUAAAAGGAUGAUCUGUAUUUCUUGAUAACUACAAAUACUGAUGCUUGUUCACGAAAGUUUUCACAAAAGUUGUAGGAAUCCAUCAGUAGAAUUUGGUUAAAAUGUAACAGUCUUCAGUCUCAUCCAACCACACCUCUUCUGUAUGUCUGUUUUAACUCUACAUUCAAAGAAAAACCACAAUUAUUUCCAAAUAGGAGAUUUAGAAAAGUCAGAGUAAAUAAAUUAA